GGGGUGGACGGCCUCUGCAAAGUGGCCUGAUCAGAUUCCUGAGCAUCUAGGUCAUUGGGCAGGAUGGCGCCUGGCUGGAGCCACCGUUGCUCUCUUCUGACCUUGAAAGGUGUGACAAGUGGAUCUGCAUUCAUUGCUCUGUGAGCCUCUAUUGAGUAUCUAUGAUGUGCUGGGCAUUGACCUGAUCUUUAUGAGAAUUUGGUUAUUUGGAUGAAAUGCUUAUUUCUUUUUUAACAUAAGCAUUGACUGGAAAUAUUGGUUAUUCUGUCUGAUAUUACAUGAAGGUCAGAUGCCCUCCAUGCAACCAUGAGGUCGGAUGGCAGUUUGAUGCUGAACCAGCAAACAAGCCUACUCAGCAUGAAACUAUGAGUAUAAAAACCUUUAUGAUGACCUACCUCCACUUGGAUCAAUGAAGAAACCAGAACUCAGGACAACUUCUAUCAAUAAAAGAAGCUGCUCAUCUGAAAGACAGCAGCACAUCCAUGUGCCAGGCAUGCUCUUCUUUCAGUCCAUAGUUAAGUUGAGGUGUACAUAUAUGAACCUGUGUACUUGUGUUAUACUCACCAGAACUCCACAGCAUCACAAGCUGGGACAACAUCCUCACACUGUGGAGCAAGAAGACAACUUAAUUAAGAGACAGCAUUUAAUGACAAGGAAAGAAAAUGUUCCUUAUCUUGUAAAUUCCUUCGCUAAUGGAAUCUUCCAGCCCACCCUGGGAAGAAGAGUUGUGGACAUAGACACAUACAGAGAGAAGACCAUGUGAAGUCACAGGGAGAAGACAGCCACCUACAUACCAAGGAGAGAGGCUGUACAAGAAACCAACCCUGAUGACACCUUGAUCUUGGACUUCCAGCUUCCAGAUUUACAGGAAAAUAAAUUUCCGUUGUUUAAGCCACACAGUCUAUGGCAUUUUGUUAUGGCAGUUCUAGCAAACUAAUAUACAGCCUAUAUCAUAUACUACUCAGUUUGACUACUUUUAUUUUGGAACAUAUUAUACUUUUGCUACUUUUGCUUAUGCAGUUUCUUUUGCUUAGUGUCCCUUGCUAGUAGAUAUUUAUAUUUAAAGAUAUUUUAGGCCUGGCACAGUGGCUCACACCUGUAAUUCCAACACUUUGGCAGGCUGAGGUGAGUAAAUCACUUGAGGCCAGGAGUUUGAGAUCAGCCUGGCUAACAUGGCGAAACCCCUUCUCUACUAAAAAAUACAAAAGUUAGCUGG
rnacentral:lncRNA from 10 species